CCUGCACCUAGAGACAUGGUAUGUGUGACUGUUGUGUCACAUGUGUAUCAGUAGGUAACAGAGAAGAGAGAGACUAUGUCUAUGCUCAAUGUUAUAAACUGGGAACAUCUGAAAGACUAGUAGCCUAACACU